CAGUAGCCGCGGUAAUACGAAGGGGGCUAGCGUUGCUCGAAAUGACUGGGCGUAAAGGGCGCGUAGGCGGAUUGCGCAGUCAGAUGUGAAAUUCCUGGGCUUAACCUGGGGGCUGCAUUUGAGACGCGUAGUCUAGAGUGUGAAAGAGGGUCGUGGAAUUCCCAGUGUAGAGGUGAAAUUCGUAGAUAUUGGGAAGAACACCGGUGGCGAAGGCGGCGACCUGGUUCAUGACUGACGCUGAGGCGCGAAAGCGUGGGGAGCAAACAGGAUUAGAUACCCCCGUAGUCCCUGUCUCUUAUAC
rnacentral:rRNA from 1 species